rnacentral:rRNA from 1 species
GACGAACGCUGGCGGCGUGCUUAACACAUGCAAGUCGAACGGAAAGGCCCUUCGGGGUACUCGAGUGGCGAACGGGUGAGUAACACGUGGGUGAUCUGCCCUGCACUUUGGGAUAAGCCUGGGAAACUGGGUCUAAUACCGAAUAGGACCACGCGCUUCAUGGUGUGUGGUGGAAAGCUUUUGCGGUGUGGGAUGGGCCCGCGGCCUAUCAGCUUGUUGAUGGGGUAAUGGCCUACCAAGGCGACGACGGGUAGCCGGCCUGAGAGGGUGACCGGCCACACUGGGACUGAGAUACGGCCCAGACUCCUACGGGAGGCAGCAGUGGGGAAUAUUGCACAAUGGGCGCAAGCCUGAUGCAGCGACGCCGCGUGAGGGAUGACGGCCUUCGGGUUGUAAACCUCUUUCAAUAGGGACGAAGCGCAAGUGACGGUACCUAUAGAAGAAGCACCGGCCAACUACGUG